GACGAACGCUGGCGGCGUGCCUAACACAUGCAAGUCGAGCGAGCGGCGGACGGGUGAGUAAUGUAUGGGGACUGCCCGAUAGAGGGGGAUAACUACUGGAAACGGUAGCUAAUACCGCAUACUAUCGGAUAACCCAGAUGGGAUUAGCUUGUUGGUGGGGUAAAGGCUCACCUAGGCGACGAUCCCUAGCUGGGAUGAGAGGAUGAACAGCCACACUGGGACUUAGACACGGCCCAGACUCCUACGGGGGCAGCAGUGGGGAAUAUUGCACAAUGGGCGCAAGCCUGAUGCAGCCAUGCCGCUUGUAUGAAGAAGGCCUUAGGGUUGUAAAGUACUUUCAGCGGGGAGGCGUUACCCGCAGAAGAAGCACCGGCUAACUCCGUGCCAGCAGCCGCGGUAAUUC
rnacentral:rRNA from 1 species